rnacentral:misc_RNA from 1 species
GUGGUUCACGCGCCGGAGUUACGCCUGAAGGAAGUCAGCGGUCUCGGGGAUUCGGCGAUCACGGAGAUCAAGCUGAUCGCCGCGACCGCGAGCCGGGUCGCGAAGGGCCAGAUCAGCAAAGAGAAGACCGUGCNNNUCGAGUACUGCCGCGCUGCCAUGGCCUUUGCCGACAAGGAGCAGUUCCGCAUCCUGUUUCUCGACAAGCGCAAUCAGUUGAUCGCGGAUGAAUUGCAACAGAUCGGAACUGUCGAUCACACGCCGGUCUAUCCGCGCGAAGUGGUCAAGCGCGCGCUGGAACUGUCGGCCACCGCGAUC